UACGUAGGGGGCAAGCGUUGUCCGGAUUUAUUGGGCGUAAAGAGCGUGUAGGCGGCCAGACAGGUCUGCUGUGAAAACUCGAGGCUCAACCUCGAGACGCCGGUGGAAACCGUUUGGCUAGAGUCCGGAAGAGGAGAGUGGAAUUCCUGGUGUAGCGGUGAAAUGCGCAGAUAUCAGGAGGAACACCGGUGGCGAAGGCGGAUCUCUGGGCCGUAACUGACGCUGAGGAGCGAAAGCAUGGGGAGCGAACAGG
rnacentral:rRNA from 1 species